rnacentral:rRNA from 1 species
UAGCUAGUUGGUGAGGUAAAGGCUUACCAAGGCGACGAUCUGUAGCGGGUCUGAGAGGAUGAUCCGCCACACUGGAACUGAGACACGGUCCAGACUCCUACGGGAGGCAGCAGUGGGGAAUUUUGGACAAUGGGGGCAACCCUGAUCAGCCAUGCCGCGUGAGUGAAGAAGGCCUUCGGGUUGUAAAGCUCUUUCGGCCGGGAAGAAAUCGCAUGGGCCAAUACCCUGUGUGGAUGACGGUACCGGAAUAAGAAGCACCGGCUAACUACGUGCCAGCAGCCGCGGUAAUACGUAGGGUGCGAGCGUUAAUCAAAUUACUGGGCGUAAAGCGUGCGCAGGCGGUUUUGUAAGACAGGCGUGAAAUCCCCGGGCUUAACCUGGGAACUGCGUUUGUGACUGCAAGGCUAGAGUACGGCAGAGGGGGGUGGAAUUCCACGUGUAGCAGUGAAAUGCGUAGAGAUGUGGAGGAACACCAAUGGCGAAGGCAGCCCCCUGGGUCGAUACUGACGCUCAUGCACGAAAGCGUGGGUAGCAAACAGGAUUAGAUACCCUGGUAGUCCACGCCCUAAACUAUGUCAACUAGGUGUUGGGUGGGUAAAACCAUUUAGUACCGUAGCUAACGCGUGAAGUUGACCGCCUGGGGAGUACGGCCGCAAGGUUAAAACUCAAAGGAAUUGACGGGGACCCGCACAAGCGGUGGAUGAUGUGGAUUAAUUCGAUGCAACGCGAAAAACCUUACCUACCCUUGACAUGCCAGGAACUUGCCAGAGAUGGCUUGGUGCCCGAAAGGGAGCCUGGACACAGGUGCUGCAUGGCUGUCGUCAGCUCGUGUCGUGAGAUGUUGGGUUAAGUCCCGCAACGAGCGCAACCCUUGUCGUUAAUUGCCAUCAUUUAGUUGGGCACUUUAACGAGACUGCCGGUGACAAACCGGAGGAAGGUGGGGAUGACGUCAAGUCCUCAUGGCCCUUAUGGGUAGGGCUUCACACGUCAUACAAUGGUCGGUACAAAGGGUUGCCAAGCCGCGAGGCGGAGCCAAUCCCAGAAAGCCGAUCGUAGUCCGGAUUGCAGGCUGCAACUCGCCUGCAUGAAGUCGGAAUCGCUAGUAAUCGUGGAUCAGCAUGUCACGGUGAAUACGCUCCCGGGUCUUGUACACACCGCCCGUCACACCAUGGGAGCGGGCUCCGCCAGAAGUAGGUAGCCUAACCGCAAGGGGGGCGCUUACCACGGCGGGGUUCGUGACUGGGGUGAAGUCGUAACAAGGUAGCCGUAGGGAACCUGCGGCUG